AUGAUGGGAAUAACUAAGCAUAAAUUCGGAAAUGAGCACGAAAUGUCUAUAAAUGAAUUUUGUCAUUAUUCAUUAUUUCCGGUCUUUUCGUUGCAUUUACAUACAACAAGAAACAACCACCAGCGUUUGGUGCAGCACUUGCAUUUUGGUGCAUUCUUCUUCCUUUCCUUGGUCUUUCGUUCCGUCAUAUUCCAAAUAACUUUUCUAAUUACAACAUAUUAA
rnacentral:rRNA from 1 species